rnacentral:rRNA from 1 species
AAAAACUUUUUGAUUAAGGAAUUAAUAAUUUAAAAAUUUUUUAAACAAGGCAUUUAAAAGAAUGCUUGGUAAAUUACAGAAAGAAGGACGAGGCGCUUCGAAAAUUAUAAUAAGGUUCAGACUUGUGAAUUAUAAGUUUCCUAAUUAAAAAAUGAAAUUUUUUAAUUAUUGUGAAGUGAAUCAUCUCAAUAACAAUAAAUGAAAAAAAUCAACCGAAAUUUUGUAAGUAACGGUGAGUGAAAGCAAAGAUACUAAGUAAUUAAUAAAAUAAUUUAACAAAUAAAUUUAAUACAAUAAAAGGUCAAUAGUCCUGUAGAUUUGUUAAAAAUAUAAAUUAAAUUGAAGUAAAGUGAAUUAAUCAUUCUCAUGAAAAUUAAGGAGAACCACCUUCUAAACUUAGAAAAAAUGUAAUUUAAUCGAUAGUACACGAGUAUUGUGAAAAAAAUUUGAAAAAAAUUUGAAAAAAAUUUGAAAAAAAUUUGAAUGUCUAAUUAAUUACUUGAAGUAAAAAUAUACGACAAGAUGCUUUUUGCAGAACGAGUCAGUAAGUUAAACAUUAUAGCAAAAAAAUUAAAUUUAUUUCGUUUUUGAAAAAAAGUUAUAAUUAUUAGACCUGAAACCAAGUGAUCUAAUUAUGAAUAAGUUGCUGUUAAUGUAACAAUUAAUUAAAGACUGAACUUUUAUAUGUGGCAAAAUAUUAAGAAAAUUUGUAAUUAGGAGUGAAAGGCUAAUCAAACUUGGUUAUAGCCGGUUUUUCACGAAAUGUAUUUUAGUACAGCAACAUUAUUAUAUAAAUUAAGGUAAAGUAAAAAAAUUUAAUAAAAUUUUUUAACUUUAAAUUUAAUUUCAAAAAAAAAUGUUAGUCAGUCUAAAAGCGAGAAGGUUUUUAGACAAAAGGAAAACAAUCCAGAUCGUUUGUUAAGGUAUUAAAUUACUAUAUUAAUUUAUAAGGUUUUUUAAAAUUUCAAUAUUUAAAUAGGCUUAGAAGCAGUUUUUUAUUUGAGAAAGCGUUUUAGCUCAUUGUUUUUUUUUAUUAAACUAAAAAUUUUGGAUAUUAAAUUGUAAACCGAAACAGCGAAUAUAUUUUUUGCUAAUAAAGAUAAGAAAAAUAUAUGGUAGUGAAACGUUUUGUUAGUAAAAAAAAGAGUAAUCAAAUUUAAACAAAAAUGAUAAUGCUGACAUGAGUAACGAAAAAUUAUGUAAAAAUCAUAAUCAUUUAAUAAAUAGGUUUUCAAUGUACGUUAAACUUCAUUGAGUGAGUCGGUUCUUAAAAAAAAUACUAAAAAGUUUAUUUGAUGGAAAAAGAAUAUUUAUUCUUACUAAUUGUGUAUAUUUAAUUACUAAAAUAGUUAUUUUUAAACAAUUUUUUUAAAUAAAUUAAAGAAAAUUAAAUUAAAAAAAUAACUUUCAAGAAAAAAACAAUUAAAUAAACCGUACUAAAUCCGACACAGGUUUUUACAAAAAAAAUGAUUGAGAAAAUUAUAUUAAAGGAACUUGGCAAAUUAAUUCCGUAUGUUCGCUAAAAGGAAUAUCUAUAAUAUAAUGGAUAUAUAUUAUUAUUUGACUUAUAGAUAGCAUAAACUAAAAAGCAACGACUGGUUAUCAAAACCACAGGACUCUGCAAAUUUAUAAAAAGAAGUAUAGAGUCUGAAGUCUGCCCAGUGCUUAAACAUGAAAUAUAACGUAAUUAAUACGAAAUUAUAAAUUUAAGUAAACGGCGGUUCUAACUAUAAGAAUCCUCAGGUAGCGAAAUUCCUUGGCGGGUAAAUUCCGUCCUGCAUGAAUGACUUAACGAUUGCUUUACUGUCUCUAAUAUAAACUCAGUGAAAUUACAAUAUUCAUGAAAAUGUGAAUUAUUUACAAUAAGACGGAAAGACCCUAGAUCCUUUACUUUUAUUUUACAUUGUAAAAAAAUUUUAUUUAUUUUAGAAUAAAUGGAAGUUAUUAACACUCGUGAAAUACCAUUUUUUUAUUAUUUUUUUACUAUAUUUAAUUAAAAUUAGAGAAAGUGUAAAAAAGAAAGUUUACUUGGGAUGAGUGCCUCCUAAAAAGUAACGGAGGCGAACAAUGGUGAAAAAAAUUAAUAGAAAUUUUGCUUGAUAAUAAAAUUAAUAAAUUAAAUUAGGACGAAAGUCAGUUAUAAUGACCCGAAUUUAUGUGUGGAAUUAAAUUCGUUCAACAGAUAAAAGGAACUCUAGGGAUAACAGAUUCAUCAUGAUUAAAAGUUCAUAUUGAAAUCAUGGUUUGAUACCUCGAUGUCGACUCAUCUUAUCCUGAAAUUGUAAAUGAUUUCAAGGGUCUAGUUGUUCGCUAGUUAAAAAGGUACGUGAGUUGGGUUCAGAACGUCGUGAGACAGUUCGGUCCCUAUCUAUUGUAAAAUAAAAAUUCAAAGAAAUAGUUUUAGUACGAGAGGACCAAACUAUAUUAACCUCUAGUAAAUUGAUUAAAAUAAAUUUUUUUUAUUGUCAAGUAGCUACGUUAAUUUAAUUUAAAUACUGAAUGCAUCAACAGUAUAAAAAUAACUUUUAAAAUUUUUUAGAAUAGUCUUUUCGAAAAAAAGAUAGAUCGGUUUAACUUUAAUUUUUAGUAAUAAAAAUAUUAUAAAUACGAAUUUUUCAAAAAAAAAAUUUAAUUAACUUA